UUCCUACGAGAUGCAGUGCUUUCCCAGGCGUCUUCUUCUUUCCUAGGCGGAUCCCCUUUCUCCCCCAAGUCCUUUCCCACGCCGCCGCCUCCUUCCCACCGGCCGCCCCGGCCCCCCCCCCCCCCCCCGCGCCUCCGCAAAACCUCAGAGUAGCGGCUGCGGGUCCGGCGUCGAGAACUCCGCCCGGUGCUUGCACUCGCCGCCGCCGACCGGAGCAAGCAGAGGCCCUCGUCCGGAUGGAGCUGCACCACUCAUAGGCGGCCACGGUGACGGCAGGGCGGCCCAAGCAGCAGCAGACCCCCUCCCCUACCUCGAGCUCCUCCGCAGUUGCUCCAUAAUUCCGACCAUGGUGGCAUCCCCUACCUAGAGAUCCUCAGCGCCGCCCUCCGAUGAGAUGGUGGGCUGGUGGGGAACGGUACUCAUCCUCAACGUCGAGCGGAGCCUGGACGAGCCGAGGCCGGAGGCGUUGGUACCAGACUUGUUCUUGGCAGUCUAGGCGAGGCCAGAGGCAGUGGCCCCGUUCCAGGUGACUCCGGGCCGUGCCUCCAAUCUGGCUUCUCGUUCUUGAUUAGACUCACAUGCGAGCCGCCCUCUCUCUGGUCCCGCUCUAGUGCUACUCGUUCUCUGGAGUAUGGAGCGACCAUGGGAGGCACAGAUCGACCGUCUCGGCAUCUCAGUCUUUCUUCAUUCAUAGAGCCUUCUUUUAUUAUUGAAUGGCUGUAGUAGUGUUUGAUUCAGAGAAUUAGCUCUUAGUAUUGUGUUUGCUCUUACGCUGAUCUGCAAAACUGAGGUCCGAGGAAGAAAAUUUUCGCUCGGGAAGAUCUCGCGGGCAGCUAAAGCCUAACGUCCAGGGAUGUGUGUAUAUUGGCCUGUAUCAGCUCGUGGUGUCUUUUCUUGUUUGUGAUGCUUUGUCUUGAAGAAGAAACUCGAUUUGGUCUUCAAUGAUUAUGUGCAAUACCAAUUAGAGCUUACUUGUUGAUUUUUGUUGGGGUAUUUGGUGUUUAAUUAAUUAGCGUUGUAGAUUUAUUUUUGGCUCGGUUUGUAAAUCGGAGUUUAUACUAAUUAGCUCUUAAAUUAGAGAAAUAAAACAAUUGCUCGCC